rnacentral:rRNA from 1 species
GACGAGUGGUCCAAGCGUUAGUCGGAAUCACUGGGCUUAAAGGGUGCGUAGGCGGAUGAGUAAGUGCCUUGUGAAAGCCCCCGGCUCAACCGGGGAAAUGCAGGGCAUACUGCUCGUCUUGAGGAAGGUAGAGGCCGGCGGAACGAUAGGUGGAGCGGUGGAAUGCGUAGAGAUCUAUCGGAACGCCAAGUGUGAAGACAGCCGGCUGGGCCUUUCCUGACGCUGAGGCACGAAAGCGUGGGGAGCAAACAGG